CUUUUCACCCUGUCACAUGAGACUUUGGAGAGCAACAAUAAAGCUCAUGCCAAAUGGAGCAGGUAGGAGAGUCAGCAGAAGGAAAGUGAGACAGAAAGUCAGAAUAUAGCUGGGCUUAGGAGGGAGAAGGAUGAGCUCAUGGCUUUCCUGGUGUUUCCUGGUGUUUCCUGGAUUUAGCACCUUUCUGCUUCACAGAAGGGGACCUCAGCCUGGGUAUAGCUGAGCACCAGCACUUAGCAUGGCAAGUGACUCAGGCAAGGAGUUGUGAUCUGCCUUUCUCAAAAUCCUAGGACUCUUUGGAUUCAAGUUGUUGUGCACAGGUGAAGUUGUGGCAGAAGCUGCGUUGGAGCAGGGCAGGACAAUGCCAGGAAGGUGUCCUGGCUGGGUGGUCCUUUCCUUCUCCUCACCCCAGAGCACAUGGCUUCCUUCACACACAACUGGUUGUGUGUUCCUUAGAGCUGGCCUGUAACUCUAACAAGAUUGCUGAAAAAGCCAAGUGUGCUUCCAUAAAUGGUAUUUUGACCUUUAUCAUAACCCACAGUUCUUGUGGGUGUGGUAAAGCUCCUUUAAACACUUGGGCUUUGUUUCUCUUGCUAAAUAAAAUUAGUCCAGGGAGUGUGCUUGAGCACUGACUGCUGAGCAUCCGUGCUGCCUAACUUUGAGUACGUUCCCUGGUUGUUUUGACCUGUGCUAUAUGGUGCUCUCUAAGGCAAUACCUGCUUCUGGCCCUGGGAAAGCAGGGAGCAGAAAUCAGUUUCAAUAGAGAAUACAGAUAAGCCAGAACCACAUUUAAAUGCCUCUUCCAGCACAGACCUUUGAGGUUCAGCAGACUGUACCCACCAACAUCUCUGUGUGCUCAUCAAAACACGUGCAUGAGACUUACAUGAUCAAAGCACCGUUUUGGUGGGCCUGCACAUUACUUCAGGCAUACUGGAUUAAAAAAAAACACUGAAAUUGUGUCUAUAGGGACACCAUAGCACAGUGCAAAGGACAAAGAUAGGGUGGUAGAAAGGACCAAGGCCAAACACUGCAGAUGCAGUCAGGCUGGUAUUCAGGCCAAGAGUAUUCCCUGGAUCUGAUUUAUUUAGCAGUGUUGACACAGCAUUAGAAUCCAGCACAAAUAAAUUCUUGCUACUUGAAAGUUUUACUGUAUCA
rnacentral:lncRNA from 1 species